rnacentral:rRNA from 1 species
GGCACGGCAGGGUAGAUAUGUAUGGAUGAGAUAAACGCUGAAAGCAUCUAAGCGCGAAACUCGCCUCGAGAUAAGAUUUCCCAUUCCGUAAGGAAGUAAGACCCCUGAGAGAUGAUCAGGUAGAUAGGAUGGAAGUGGAAGUGCGGUGACGUAUGAAGCGGACCAUUACUAAUCGGUCGAGGACUUAACCAAG